ACGAACUGUGCAAACGUUAUUCGGAAUCACUGGGCUUAAAGAGUUCGUAGGCGGCAUGUCAAGUCGGGUGUGAAAUCCCUCGGCUCAACCGAGGAAUUGCGUCCGAAACUGGCGUGCUUGAGUGAGAUAGAGGUGAGCGGAACUGAUGGUGGAGCGGUGAAAUGCGUUGAUAUCAUCAGGAACACCGGUGGCGAAAGCGGCUCACUGGGUCUCAACUGACGCUGAGGAACGAAAGCUAGGGGAGCGAACGGGAUUAGAUACCCCGGUAGUCCUAGCCGUAAACGAUGAGCACUAGGUUGAGGGGACCUCCACAUCCCCCCGGCCGUAGCGAAAGUGUUAAGUGCUCCGCCUGGGGAGUAUGGUCGCAAGGCUG
rnacentral:rRNA from 1 species